rnacentral:sRNA from 2 species
CCCUCCCGGGGAUCGGAUGCAGAACACGAUGCGAGCCGGGGAACCACAGUGUUCCUGGGGUGAAUUCUCCAUGAGGGUCCGAUCAGUAGUCAACCGCGCUGAUCCGGAUGGAAUGGGGAUAGGGGCCUUCCGCUCCGAAUCCGACAGCUAACCCGGCAGACCAACAGGAAGAUUUG